GACGUAGGGCGCGAGCGUUGUCCGGAUUUAUUGGGCGUAAAGAGCUCGUAGGCGGUUUGUCGCGUCGUCCGUGAAAACUUGGGGCUCAACUCCAAGCUUGCGGUCGAUACGGGCAGGCUCGAGUUCGGUAGGGGAGACUGGAAUUCCUGGUGUAGCGGUGAAAUGCGCAGAUAUCAGGAGGAACACCGGUGGCGAAGGCGGGUCUCUGGGCCGAUACUGACGCUGAGGAGCGAAAGCGUGGGGAGCGAACAGG
rnacentral:rRNA from 1 species